rnacentral:rRNA from 1 species
UACGAAGGGGGCUAGCGUUGCUCGGAAUCACUGGGCGUAAAGCGCACGUAGGCGGAUUGCUAAGUCAGGGGUGAAAUCCUGGAGCUCAACUCCAGAACUGCCUUUGAUACUGGCGAUCUCGAGUCCGGGAGAGGUGAGUGGAACUGCGAGUGUAGAGGUGAAAUUUCGUAGAUAUUCGCAAGAACACCAGUGGCGAAGGCGGCUCACUGGCCCGGUACUGACGCUGAGGUGCGAAA